rnacentral:lncRNA from 1 species
CGCCCUCUUAUUCCUCAUGUGAGAAAUAUUUUUAUAUAAUUUUUCUCAUAUCCAAAAGCUUUUUCUAUGUCUUUAUCUAAUUUUUUUAAAUUAAAAAUUAGUUAGUUUAAAUUUGAGUUCAAAUGGAUUUGAAUUUGAAUGAAAUUCUAGAAUUCAAAUUGAGUUGGACUCUCCUCUUCAUGCCACUACCUUUCUCCAUGCAUAAAGUAUUUUUGUGCAAGAUUUUUUACACCAUUCUA